AGCUGUGAGGGCGAUCUGGCUGUGACAUCUGUCACCUUACUGAUUGCCAGGGUUGAUCUGUCUGGCUAGGUGGGUAUCCCCUUCCUUCCUCACUGCUCCACGUGUGUCCCUCCUGAAGCUGCACAUUCAGUCCUAGAGGACGACCCUCCUUGAUAAAGGWGGACAGUUCUUCCGUCAAGGGCAUCCAAGUAGCUGCAUCGCCCCCCCGAACCUCCAAACAGGCUCUCAAAGAGCAUUAAACCAAACAUAACUUGAUUUUAAGGAGAACCUGCUAGAAGAGAUGAUCUCAGGCUCCUUGAGCAAGAAAGAUUUUUAAGAACUCUGUU
rnacentral:snRNA from 1 species